UUCCUGGUUCUCCCAUCGUUCGGGGCAUUCUGGGGCUGUUUUGGCUAUUGGUUGCUUGCUUGGUCUUGAGCCGAUCAGGUGGCUUCUAGUCUGGUGGCUUCGGGGAUGUUAACCGUAAAGGUGGAUGAGUGGUGUUUGGUUUGUUACGUGUGGUUGGCUGCGGCGUUUGCAACAACUUCCAUGCUUUCAGACCUCUUCAGUUGUGCGGCAAGGCUUGUAUCGCCUUGAGCGUAUUGUGGGUUUUCUGUGUUGAAUACCUAAUCAAUGGUAUCGGUUGGAUUGAUCAAAGUUUCAUUUCGUCUUCCGCUGCAUUCGCGGCGUGAGGUGAACCUCGAUGCGGUCUCUUUGAUCCACCUCGUCGAAGCACAUGCUUCGACGUUGUGGCACAUUGAGCAUUGCUUGGUCUCUUGUAUACGGAACAUAUAGUGGGCAUGGAUCUAACGAUUCUUGUUUGCCCUCGUAUUAGCGUAUCGCUUCUCUAACACGACUUGCGCUACGUCUUAG
rnacentral:misc_RNA from 1 species